UACGUAGGGACCAAGCGUUGUUCGGAUUUACUGGGCGUAAAGGGCGCGUAGGCGGCGUGGUAAGUCACUUGUGAAAUCUCCGAGCUUAACUCGGAACGGUCAAGUGAUACUGCUGUGCUAGAGUGCAGAAGGGGCAAUCGGAAUUCUUGGUGUAGCGGUGGAAUGCGUAGAUAUCAAGAGGAACACCUGAGGUGAAGACGGGUUGCUGGGCUGACACUGACGCUGAGGCGCGAAAGCUAGGGUAGCAAACGGG
rnacentral:rRNA from 1 species